GUGUGUAGCUCAGUGGUAGAGCCCUUGCCUAGCAUGCAUGUAGUCCUGGGUUUGAUCUCCAGUAAAACACA
rnacentral:tRNA from 1 species